AAAAAUUUCUAGACAAAAAGAAAAUGGGAAUUGCUCAGCCGUCUCUAUCAUCUAUCACUCCUCCGAGAUGCUUUUGCCUUUGUUUGUCAAUACAAGCAGCCCUACCCCAUGCCCCUGUUUCUAUCAUAUUACCCAAUGCUGCUAAUUUGCUCCUCUCUUUCAAUAUGGUUUCUUUAUCCUUCUUUACUUGCCAAUAAUUCAUCCUUCAUUUCUCCACUUGUUCUCACUCUCAUCAUCUUCCAUUAAUGGACACCUAUCUCUUCUUCUUCAUCUUACUUGUUCUCCCCGUAGCUUAUUCCGAUGACCACGGCCUGUUCUUGGAAUGCAAUUAGACAUUCAAUUGUGGUACUUUACAAGGCAUCGGAUACCCUUUCUGGAGCCCUCCUCUGCGCCCUAGUUACUGCGGUCAUCACGGGUUCGAGCUCAUUUGCCAACAAAAUCAGUCCCCUGUCAUCACCAUUAAAACCCAGAGAUUUCAUGUAUUGAACAUCACUCGUGCUGAUGACCAUUGCACCUGUUGAUACCUGGGAAGAUCCUUGUCCUCAACAAUUCCAUAACAUCUCAUUAAACCACAACCUCUUUGAUUUUGCUGCAACCAUUCGAAAUCUCACUAUAUUCUACGGCUGCCCUCUUGAAGAUGAUAUACCUUUCCAACAUAGAUUUAAUUGCGGUACUACUACAUCCAGCGGCAACACCUAUGCCUAUUACCUGGAUGAAUCAUUGUCCAGACUUCACCGUUCGGAGCUCACGGAUUGUGACACCAGUAUCAUAGUUCCGGUUAAUCAAAGCGAAUUUGAUGAACUCUGGAAUGACCUGACAAUAUAGUGGGUGCUUGGAAUAAAGGGUUUGAAGUAAUGUAUCAAAAGGACAUGAUUUCAUGUUUGGCAUGCAGGAAUUCAGGUGGAGUAUGUGGAUCUAAUAGUUCAUCGCUUGAUUUCUUAUGCUUUUGCCCCGACCACCCUUGCUCUAAAUCCUGUGUGGUUUCUGGUUUAGUCUAGCGAUAUCGUGAAGGCAACGUUCCCGUGGAGGCAAAAGUGUAUGCUUGCACCAUCAAGUAUGAAGAAAUGAGUCGUCGUUUGGCCGUUCGAGGAAUUCAACUACCUAAUUUUUCCUAUGACUUCUCAAUUGUUGAAAGUUCGAGGCGAUUAAUUGACACUGAAGGAGGUUUCCUGCUUCUUUUGCAUGUAUUAGGGAAGGGUUUUCACCUUCCUCUCCACCCUUUCUUCUACCAUCUUCUUGAUGAGAAUAGGACAACUCCGGGGAAGUUAUCUGGUUUCUCCUAGUGGGUCGCAGUCACCUAUUUCAUUGAAUGUGGUCGUCGAGAAGAGGCAUCAUUGAUUUCUGUUUUUGAACAUCUGUACCAACUCAAGGCUUGUUACUGAGAAGGAUUUUUAGGUUUAUUUUAUUUUACUCGUGAAUGAUGCAAGUUGAUCAUUUCGAACUUAUCUUCCAACCUUCAGUUAAAUUGUGGUAAAUACAUACGAGUGAAGAAUAAAUUUGGAUUUCGUUUUAAUUUUCCAACUAAGUGGUCGAUACCUAGCAACAGUGUGUGCUUGCAAAAGUGAGGUAUCACAUUCGAAGUAGGUUGGGCUUAAUUUUCCAAGCUUCAUCGAGGUCGCGUAUUGGAGCUUAAGGAGGUGCUAAUUGCUAGAAAUGUGUUUCACCAUUGCCUUAUAGAUCUAAGCCCUAAUAGGUGGAGGCCGGUUGAUGACAAAAAUGGUGUGGACACUGUGUCAGUUUUGCCCGCGGAGUUCGCGUGGCCAUAUGGAGCUAUUUAUGAAUUGGGGCUUAUUUCUUUAGGAAAAGUGAAGGAGCAUAAGAAUUAUUUUUAUACUUUUUGUAAAUUGAAACCUCGCUCGUGGUCCUCCAAAUCUGCAGGGGAUCUAGAAGGUAGCGCGAACACACCUAUGAUUAUUGUUAGUGUUGAUAAUAGGCUUAUUGGUGAUGCAGGCAUAAUUCACGUCGUUGAAGAAUCUUUAGGGGAAUCAACAAGCUUUUCUAGAGAGAUCGGCGAAUUCAUGAAUGUAUGAUCUUUUAUGUAGAAUGUGUGAGGUGCUCUUUCUAGAGCUUUUGCUAAGGAAGGAAGUGGGAGUAGUUGAAAGAAACAAAAGACUACUGUUAGGGCUACCAACAUUAUACUAAGUAGCGAAGAAGAGGGUAGUUUGCUGAAGGAUAUUCGUUGAAAGAAUGGGAAGGACCGUGCUACAUCAUCUGGGAUUGUGGCAACCAUCGUUACAGUCCCUCCUAUGAUUCUUUCUACACUAGUGUCCCCACCUCCUCUAAGGCCAUCGACUGAAGAUGCCUUUGGUGUGAUUGUUGAACAUGGUCAUCCUAGGGGUUCGUUGAAGUUCAUGUCUACUGGUGGUGAAGCCCAGACAUUGUUUUCAUGGCGCGACCACCUAAGUAUGCAAAAGUUUCCUUACUGCCUUACUGGAGUGGAUAAAAAAUAAAAGGAGUCGAUGCCUCAAGAAGCCAAGGAGUAUGUUUUUCCUUUUGCGUCGUCUAAAUGUGUGAAGAAGGCGUCAUUGAAGGAACUUGUGUUGUCUCUUUAAGUGGCUUUCAUAGAGGCUGAAAUGAUUAGUGUGGGGCUCACCGAAGGAAUAAAAUAGGAGGUAAAAAAGAUGGAAUUCACGAAUGUUUACUAAUCUACCAUAAGGGCUUUAGAGAGGGCUCGCGAGCUACAUAAACAAUUGGAAGAAGAAAAUAACAGACUGAUAGAGCAAAAUAAAAGGUAGAGAAUCGCUUCACUCUUUUUGAAAAAGUCAAUUAGAAAUUACAUGAAAAGAUCAGAAGCAUGCGAGUCGAAAAUGUUGUUUUGGAAGAAACCAUUAAAGCCAUUAGCGAGCAAUGUAAACUUGCUAUGGCUAAGUUGGAGAAGCAUAAAGAAGAAGCCUUGGAAAAAAAUAAGGCAGACACAAGGCAUAAUUUUUAGUAUUAUCUGCCAAACUUGAAAUUGAAUAUUCUGUUGCUUGCCCAAGUGAUUGGUGGACCCUUUGAUGCGCGCAAAGUAAAUUUGGAUGCUCUGAGUCAUCUCACAGGUGCCCAUCUAGACUUUGAUAUUUAUCUCACAGGAGUUUGUUGAAGAGUGGAAAAAUUCUAGUAUAUUUUAUCUUGCUGAUACUCUUACUAAGACUAGUUCUGCUCUUGUUAUUGGAUGUGAAGGAAACAAUAACGAAGAAGUGGAAGGAGAAGAGAAAAUCGCUGAUCCUAAUGACACCAGUGCAAAUUCUUAAUUUCUUUAUAUUUAUUGUACCUUUGGCACUAUAUUUUAAAAUGAAAUUGCUUUUUUUUUUUUUACUCUAGCAUUAUAGUAUUGAGCAACUUGUUGAGCUUGAUUAGCGUUCCUGAUUUCUACUAUCUCUUUGAUUUCAUCAAGAAGAUCUAAAUUGAGUCUGAUGGCUUCUUGUUUGGAAUUUUCAUCAAAAUGAGAUGUUCUAUGGGAUUGCAAGCUUAUCUCAUCAGUGAUUACUUCUUCUGCGCCAUAUAUCAAUGAGAAUAUUAUUUCCUAAGUUGUUGCUUGAGGAGAUGUUCGUAAGACCUAUAUAAUUCCUGUAACACACCAAACUCGAUCCUUUAAUAGGAUCUGAGAAUGAUGUAUCGUUACUAUAAAUCAAACUAACUUAAAAAUAUUUUUGGUAA